UGUGACUGAUUGGCGAACGGGUGAUUAACCCUUGGGCAACCUGCCCCAUACCGGGGGACAACACCUGGAAUCGGCUGCUAUUACCCCAUACCUUUUCGGUGCCCCAUGGCCCCCAAGAAAAAACUCCGGUGGUAUGGGAUGGGCCCCCUUCUGAUUAUCUAUUUGGGAGGGUAACGGCCUACCAAGACAACGAUCAGUAGCCGGCUUGAGAGAGUGGACGGCCACAUUGGGACUGAGACACGGCCCAGACUCCUGCGGGAGGCAGCAGUGGGGAAUAUUGCACAAUGGGGGGAACCCUGAUGCAGCAAUGCCGCGUGGGUGAAGAAGCACUCCGGUGCGUAAAGCCCUGUCAGCAGGGAAGAAAAUGACAGUACCUGGACAUGAAGCCCCGGCUAACUGCGUGCCAACAGCCGCGGUAAUACGUAGGGGGCAAGCGUUAUCCGGAUUUACUGGGUGUAAAGGGAGCGCAGGCGGCGUGGCAAGUCAGAUGUGAAAACCCGGGGCUCAACCCCGGGAGUGCAUUUGAAACUGCCAUGCUGGAGUGCCGGAGAGGUAAGCGGAAUUCCUAGUGUAGCGGUGAAAUGCGUAGAUCUUUGGGGGAACACCAGUGGCGGAGGCGGCUUACUGGACGGUAACUGACGCUGAGGCUCGAAAGCGUGGG
rnacentral:rRNA from 1 species